rnacentral:tRNA from 1 species
UGGCGAAGUGGCGGAAUUGGUAGACGCAGUGGACUCAAAAUCCACCGAAGGCAACUUUGUAAGGGUUCGAGUCCCUUCUUCGCUAU